AUUGAACGCUGGCGGCGUGCCUAACACAUGCAAGUCGAACGAAGAUUAGCUUCGGUUAAUUUUAGUGGCGGACGGGUGAGUAACACGUGAGAAUUUGCCUUUAGGAGGGGGAUAACGAGUGGAAACAUUCGCUAAAACCCCAUAUGCCCACGGGUGAAAAAGAGGAAACCCUGCCUGAAGAGAAGCUCGCGGCUGAUUAGCUAGUUGGUAGGGUAAUGGCCUACCAAGGCGACGAUCAGUAGCUGGUCGGAGAGGACGAUCAGCCACACUGGAACUGAGACACGGUCCAGACUCCUACGGGAGGCAGCAGUGAGGAAUUUUCUGCAAUGGGCGAAAGCCUGACAGAGCAAUACCGCGUGAGGGAUGAAGACUUACUGAGUUGUAAACCUCGGUGCCUUAAGGAAGAAGAUCUGACGGUACUUAAGGUGGAAAGCAUCGGCUAACUCCGUGCCAGCAGCCGCCGUAACAC
rnacentral:rRNA from 1 species